AUGUUUACGGACGGCUUAGAGUGCACAAUGAUACCAAGCAGAAAACAGGGAGCACUUCUGACAUUCUUCACUUGCAUUAUCCUGGGGGAACGUUGGGCUUGUAAUGUCGAUCACGGUCUCGGAAAGUGGCAACAACUGGUUCUCGCUUAUGAUCUUAAGCCCCUUGGAGUAUGCCUCUGCCAUAGACGCACUGUACUAUCUGAAAUUCUGAAUGAAACUUACAAUACAAAUGUGGUAACUGUGUGUUUUUAUGGAUGUUCCAGGGGAGUGUACUAUUGGACAAAACUCAAAAGCAUAGAGGAAACAAGAGAUCAAGGUCAAGAUGGCCUUCUAUGA
rnacentral:rRNA from 1 species